UUGACACAAAAGACAAGGGAUAUAAAUUGCUUACCAUUCUCGAAAAGCACUCUAGGUAAAAGAUUAGAUUCUCAAGAUAAAUACAAAUAAGAGUAGUAAGUUAUAACGUUAUCACUAUUUCUCUAUUAAUUUCCCUCUUCUACUAUUCAAUCUUGCAAUUUUUUCCUGUAAUUUAAUCACCAGUAAAUUAGAACUUUUUGCACCAAAACAAACGUAAUGAAACACAAAUCAAAACAUACAAAAGCCCAUGGCAAAUCUGGUUUCAAAAUGAAAUAAUCAUUUAAUUUACAUAAAAAAGCGUAUAUAAAUAUACAUACAAGAAUGGAAAAUUAGAUGACUAAGCAGAAAAGAAGCCAUUGGUAGCAGCAACAGUGAUCUGUGAUCUGGCCUCGAAAUUCCUCACCAUUUUGUCAUCCUUUACUAACAGCAUCAUCUCUUUCAUCCAAGAAGCAGAUGACCCUUUGAAUCUCUGCCCCAAAACUCCCACACACGAAAACAUAUCAAUCUCCCCACCAUUCAUCUUUCUUGAAUUCUUCACCCUCCUCUCAUACUCCUCUGCAACCAAGAUUGCAAUAUCUGCCAUUUUCAACAAUCCCUCUCUCUCUCUACAAUAAUUUCUUGCACUUGUUUGAGCUUUGCCACUGUUAGUAAUGAUGGAUAAUGGUGGGGUUUUUUGUGUGUAUUUAAAGGGGUGGGAGCAAUAUUGGAUAAGGUUGCCAGGUGAUGACUGAUCCUAGCUACAAUGUUUUAGCAUUAUUUUAUGCAAGGAUUUAGGUAAUUCAGGAUCAUCUUUCUUUUCCCUUUUUAAGUUUUUAAAGUUUAUAUAUUUAUUUAUUUAUUGCAGUUUACUGUGAGCCGAUUUCUGUGGUCGAAGGGCAUGAAUAGAAUACUGCUUUGCCGACCAAAAUGGCAGUUUUCUUGAGAUUAAACUAAUAUGUGCUAAAUUAGUUAAAAUGCUUCACUUUUUGGAGAAUUAGUGGAAUCUAAUUUGUUAGAUGUGAAGAUCAUUAAGUAAAUUGUUUACUGAAUAUACAUCUAAAUAAAUGUAUAUGGAUUAUAUAAACGGCUGAUAUUGCAAUAUGGAG
rnacentral:lncRNA from 1 species